rnacentral:lncRNA from 1 species
AGUAGACGCAAUUAAACAUGAAGGAUUGUGAAGGCAAAAGAUGAACCAGCCAGCCUAGUCUCUGGAUGCAUAAGCUCCAAGUGUGGAGGAGACCCGGAGAGAAAAGCAGACUGUUCUCUGUGUUUACCUGUAAGCACAGGCCGCAACCUGCCAUGCUGUUUUUAAAUGCCCAAGAGCUGGUGACAAGAGGGUUUCCCUUUGCCAUCUGGACCUGAUUGCCUUAGAGUGAAAGUCGACAUUGCAAACCACAGUGACACGUGGAUAAAACUCACGUUGUUGGGGGGAGAAGAGCAAAACAUAUGCUUCACAAUAAAAACACUCAGUAUCCUAGGAAUAGGAGGGAACUUCCUCAACCAGAUAAAGGGCAUCUAUGAAAAACCCAGAGCUAACAUCACACUUAAUCGUGAAAGACUGAAAGCUUUCCCUCUAAAAUCAGAAACAAGAAAAGGAUGUCUACUACUGCCACUGCUAUUCAACAUUGUUCUGGAAAAUUCUAGGCAGAACAAGUAGGCAAGAGAAAAGAAGAGGUAUCCAGAUUGGAAAGGAAGAAAUAAAACUGUCUCUGUUUGACAGUUGUCAUAACCUUGUACAUAGAAGAUUAUGAAGAAGCUACCAAAAACUAUUUGAAUGACUAAACAAGUUUAGUAUGGUUGCAGGAUACAAGAUCAAUAUGCAAAAACCAGCUGUAGUUCUUCUAUAUGUUGAAAAGAAGAAAAUUUAGAACGAAAUUAAGAAAAAUUCAUUCACAAGAGCAUCAAAAAGGAUAAAAAAUAAGGCCAGGCAUGGUGGCUCAUGCCAGUUAAUCCCAGCACUAUGGGAGGCUGAGGAAGGAGGAUCACUCAAGCCCAGGAGUUUGAGACCACCUGAGCAACACGGCAAGACUCUAUCUCUACCAAAAAUUUUAAAAAAUUAGCCAGGUGUAGUGGCCAUGCCUGCAGUCCUAGUUACUCAGGAGGUUGAGGUGGGAGGAUCACUUGAACUCAGGAGAUUGAGGCUGCAGUGAGCUAUGAUCUGGCCACUGUACUCCAGCCUGGGUGUCAGAGAGAGAGACCCUGUCUCUAAAUGAAAAUAAAUAAAUACAUAAAAUUUUAAAAAAGAAUGAAAUACUUAGGAAUACAUUUAACCAAAGAAGUAUGAGGCUUUUUACAUUGCAAAACUAUAUAACAUUGUUGAAAGAAACUAAAGAAGACCUAAAUAAAUGGAAAGACAUCCCAUGUUUAUAGAUGGAAAAGUUUAAUAUUAAGAUAGCAAAACUUCUCAAAUUGAUCUACAGAUUCAAUGCCAUCCUUUCAAAAUACCAGCUAACUUUUUUGCAGAAGUUAACAAACCAAUCCUAAAAUUCAUAUGGAAAUUCAAGAGAAUCAGAGCAGUUAACCUUCAAAAAGAACAAAGUUGGAGGGUUCAUACUUCCUGAGUACUAAAACUUAGUACAAAGCUAUAGUAAUCAGAUACUAUGAAAUUGACAUAAGGACAGACAUAUAGAUCACUUGACUAGGCUUGACAGUCCAGAAAUAAACCUUCACAUUUCUGAUCAAUUGAUUUUCUACGAGGCAGCCAACACAAUUCUGUUUUAAAUAUGGUGGUAGGACAACGGAGUAGCUACAUUCAAAAGAAUGAAGUGAGACCCUUAACUCACACCAUAAACAAAAACUAAUUCAAAAUGGAUCAAAGACCUAAAUGCAAGCAUUAAAACUAUAAAACUCUUAGAAGAAAACAUAGGAGGAAAUCUUCAUGACCUUGGAUUAGUCAAUGGAUUCUAAGAUAUGAUACCCAAAGCAUAAGCAACAAAAGAAAAAAUAGAAAAAUUGGACUUUAUUUUUUUAAGAGAUGGGGUCUUGUUAUGUUGCCCAGGCUGGACUUGAAAUCCUAGGCUCAAGUGAUCCUCCUACCUCAGCCUCCUGAGUUGCUGGGACUACAAACAUGUACCGCCAUGCCCAGCUAAAUUGGACUUUAAAAUGGAAAACUUUUGUGCUUCAAAGACGUCAAAAAAGUGAAGACAACCCACAGAAUGAGAGAAAAUUUUCACAAAUUGUAUAUCUGAUAAGAGACUUGUGCCUAGAAUCUAUAAAGAAUGAUUACCACUCAAUAAUAAAAAGACAAAUAACCCCAUUAAAAACAGGCAAAGGAUCUGAAUAGACGUUUCUCCAAAGAAGAUAAAUAAAUGGCCGAUAAACACUUGAAAAGAUGCUCAACAUCAUUUGCCAUCAGGGAAAAGCAAAUCAAAACCAUGAUGAGAUGAUGAGAUACCACUUCACACCCACUAGGGUGGCUAUAAUAAAAAAGACAGAUCGUAAUAACUGUUGGCAAGGAGGUAGUGAAAUUCGAACCAUCAUCACACAUUGCUGGUGGGAAUGUAAAGUAGCACAGAGCUUUGAAAAACUGUUUGGCAGUUUCUCAAAAACUUAGAGUUACCAUAUGACUCAGCAACUUCCCUCGUAGGUAUAUAGAAGAGAAAUGAAAACAUAUGUCCACACAAAAACUUGUACAUGAAUGUUCAUAGCCGUAUUAUUCAUAAUAGCCAAAAGUGGAAAUCACCCAAAUGGUAAACUGAUGAGUGAAUAAAUAAAAUGUGCUUUAUACAUAUGAUGAAACAUUCUUUGUCAAUAAUGAAGAACUGAUCCCUGCCGCAACAUGGGGGAACUUAAAAGCAUGAUGUUAAGUGAAGGAAGUCAGAUUCAAAGGUCCAUGAUUCCAUUAUAAAUGGCAUUCCAUCUGUGGAAUUCCAUAUAUGGAACGUCUAGAAUAGGAACACUUCCUUUCUAUAGAGACAGAAAGGAAAUUAGGAGUUGCCAAGAGAGGAUGGGGAGACUGGUGGGUGAUGGCUGAGAAGGUGGCCGUGUUUCUUUUUGGGGUAACGAAAGUGUUCUGAAAUUGAUUGUAGUGAUGGCAGUACAACUCUGAAUUUACUGAAAGCCAUUGACUUGUACAUUUUAAAUUGGUGACUUGUACGGUGUACGAAUUACAUCUCAAUAAAG